rnacentral:rRNA from 1 species
ACUAUCAUUAACUGAAUCCAUAGGUUAAUGAGGCGAACCGGGGGAACUGAAACAUCUAAGUACCCCGAGGAAAAGAAAUCAACCGAGAUUCCCCCAGUAGCGGCGAGCGAACGGGGAGGAGCCCAGAGCCUGAAUCAGCAUGUGUGUUAGUGGAAGCGUCUGGAAAGGCGCGCGAUACAGGGUGACAGCCCCGUACACAAAAGCGCAUGUGCUGUGAGCUCGAUGAGUAGGGCGGGACACGUGGUAUCCUGUCUGAAUAUGGGGGGACCAUCCUCCAAGGCUAAAUACUCCUGACUGACCGAUAGUGAACCAGUACCGUGAGGGAAAGGCGAAAAGAACCCCGGCGAGGGGAGUGAAAAAGAACCUGAAACCGUGUACGUACAAGCAGUGGGAGCACCCUUUGGG